rnacentral:miRNA from 1 species
CGGUGCUGCUGGAGGACUCUGCC